AUUGAACGCUGGCGGCAGGCCUAACACAUGCAAGUCGAACGAGUGGCGGACGGGGGAGUAAUGUCUGGGAAACUUCCUGAUGGAGGGGGAUAACUACGGGAAACGGUAGCUAAUACCCCAUACCAUCAGAUGUGCCCCGAUGGGAUUGGCUUGUUUGGGGGGUAACGGCUCACCAAGGCGACGAUCCCUCUCUGGGCUGAGAGGAUGACCAGCAACACGGGAAAUGAGACACGGUCCAGACUCCUACGGGAGGCAGCAGUGGGGAAUAUUGCACAAUGGGCGCAAUCCUGAUGCAGCCAUGCCGCGUGUAUGAAGAAGGCCUUCGGGUUGUAAAGUACUUUCAGCGGGGAGGCGUUACCCGCAGAAGAAGCACCGGCUAACUCCGUGCCAGCCGCCGCGGUAAUUC
rnacentral:rRNA from 1 species